rnacentral:lncRNA from 11 species
AAUUUGUUUCGUUUGUUUAUUUUGUGAAAACGCUAGCGGAAAAAAUGUUAGAAAAUUCCUAAAAAUAAAGUGCAGCAGCCGGUACAGAACCGAAGGAAGCUGCCGAAGUUUCUGAUAGGCGGCCGACAUUCAGCUACUUAAAGGCGUGCAAAAUACAGUCGUCCAACUGGUUGCCCUCGUUCAGCACUGUAGUUUUGUCUUCAUAGAUCCAACAGCGUGGAAAUCUCUCCAGUUGGUUCCGUUCCCAGUAUCUGCCGGAUGAAUUCGAUCGGGAUCUCUUGAUUGAAAGCGGUGCCCAUAAGUGGACUCCGUAUCAUCGGCCAACAUUUUGCAGUUUUUCCCGCAGCAUCAAACGAGAGCAGACGAGCAACCUUAGGCAAACCUACUUCUACGGAGCCAACAUUCCAAGAUGGUAACGAUGGCAGUGCUGGCAUCUUUUGAUCCGGAUAAUGAGUAAUCCCCCAUCCCAUCGUACUUCGGACAUUAGGCUUUUUUCCGCUGCAGUUACCUGAUCCUAAAACGUGCUGAUUUAAACAAAUGAUUUAUAUUAUUGCGAAAAUGUAAUUAAAAUACAUAAUAAUGUAUA